GUUACUGGGGGCGAUGGGGUUCGCCAUUAAAUCUGCUGAUGCAGUAAUGACUCCUACCAACAU
rnacentral:ncRNA from 2 species